rnacentral:rRNA from 1 species
ACUCCUACGGGAGGCAGCAGUGAGGAAUCUUCCGCAAUGGGCGCAAGCCUGACGGAGCGACACCGCGUGGAGGACGAAGCCUUUGUUGGUGUAAACUCCUUUUUCUCCGAAGAUAAUGACGGUAGGAGAAGAAUAAGAAGCAGCA